AUUGAACGCUGGCGGCAGGCCUAACACAUGCAAGUCGAGCGAGAAAUCACUUCGGUGAGAGUACAGCGGCGGACGGGUGAGUAACGCGUAGGAAUCUACCCGGUAGUGGGGGACAACAUGGUGAAAACCAUGCUAAUACCGCAUACGCCCUAUGGGGGAAAGCGGGGGACCUUCGGGCCUCGCGCUAUCGGAUGAGCCUGCGUAAGAUUAGCUAGUUGGUGGGGUAAAAGCCUACCAAGGCGACGAUCUUUAGCUGGUCUGAGAGGAUGAUCAGCCACACUGGGACUGAGACACGGCCCAGACUCCUACGGGAGGCAGCAGUGGGGAAUAUUGCGCAAUGGGCGAAAGCCUGACGCAGCCAUGCCGCGUGUGUGAAGAAGGCCCUAGGGUUGUAAAGCACUUUCAAUUGGGAAGAAAAGCUUGUCGUUAAUAGCGGCAAGCCCUGACAUUACCUUUAGAAGAAGCACCGGCUAACUCCG
rnacentral:rRNA from 1 species